rnacentral:misc_RNA from 1 species
AGGAAGGUAGAUUUGAAUUAUCAUUGAGUAAAGAUAUAAGGGGAUUGCUCAGUUUAUAUGAAGCUUCACAACUAAAUGGUGGUGAGGACCUUCUUCAUAAUUCAUGUGAAUUUUCCCGGAAACAACUUAUGUCUUCUCUGAGUUCUUUGGAUAGUGAUUCACAAAGAUUUAUUAUUCAUACAUUGGAGUAUCCGAGUUUCACGACUCUACAAAGAUAUAAAGCUCGAUAAUAUCUCAGUCAUUGUGGAACAACUUACGGAUUUGAAGGAUUUCUACAGCAAGUUGCAAGAUUUGACUUCAAUAAUGUUCAAUCUUUAGACAAAAGGGAACUAAACGAAAUUUGCUGUUGGUGGAAAAACUUGGGCUUGUUACAAGAAUUAAGCUUAAUUCGAGAUGAACCUAUAAAUUGGUAUUUACUGGUUAUGUGCAUUCUCCCUGAUCCAUUAUUGUCUAAGCAAAGGAUUGAGAUUGUUAAAUUGAUAGCAUUAAUUUAUGUUAUUGAUGAUAUAUUUGACAUUUAUGGUUCACCUGAAGAACUGUUCCUUCUCGCAGAGGCUAUCGAGAAAUGGGAAGUUUCAGCGUCAGAUAAACUCCCGAAGUAUAUGAGAGUUUGCUAUACAACCUUGUACAACAUUACCACCGAAUUUUCGCAUACGGUAUUAAAUGAAACUGGUUGGGAUCCUAUAAACAGUCUACAAAAAAUGUGGAUGAAACUGUUCAGUGCGUUCUUAACGGAAUCAAAAUGGUUUGUAUCAAAAUAUGUUCCGACCACUGAAGAGUACCUGAAAAAUGGAAUUAUUAGUUCUGGUGUACAUAUUCUAUUGGUUCACAUAUUUUUUAUACUGGGACAAGACAUUACGAAGGAGACUGUGAAGAAAAUAGAGAGUAUUCCUACUCUGAUUUCUUUUCCAGCAACACUUCUUCGUCUAUGGGAUGAUCAAGCAAUUGCCAACUCUGACAUUGGCAAGAAUAAGAAGCAAGAGGAAUUUGAUGGUUCCUAUUUAGACUGCUACAUUAAAGAACAUCCAGGUUGCUCUACUGAAGCCGCUAGGGAAAAAGUGAUGAAUCUGAUCUUCUGUGCAUCACAUUACCUCAACAAGGAGUGUUUCUCAGACAAUUCUUUCUCUCCUAAUCUUGUGGAUGCAUCUUUGAACAGUGCAAGGAUUUUCAAAGUGAUGCACAGUUAUGACGAAAACGAUCUUCCAAUUUUUGAGGACUAUAAAAAAUUAUUACUCUUUCAGACUUUGUAAUAAUUAGCUAAUCAACCAAUAUCUGAUAAACAUGGGAAAUUACGUUGGCAGAUUACAAAAAUAAUUUUGUACUAAUAGAAUACAAAUAAUUGUUAGAUCAGCUAACAAAUUAUUUAUCAUGUACAACUAUUUCCGUAUUUGAUUUUUU